GAUGUACACAUGGGCCUGGUGAUGCCACGGUGAAACGAGAGCCGAGUUUCUCGGACAUCACACGCCUCGUGCUGUGGUGUAUGGCCGUGGCCGUCUCCUACAUUCACGUUUACGGCCACCAAUCUUUUCAAAAGAAAUAUUUCCAUAUUGAUGGAUGAAAUUUUAAAACAGCAGCAAGAACUUCUGGGCCUAGAUUGUUCAAAAUACUCACCAGAGUUUGCAAAUAGGAACGACAAAGGUGAUCAAGUUCUAAAUUGCCGUUUGGCAGUGAAGGUGCUGUCCCCGGUAGAUGGAAAAGCAGAUAUUCUGAGAGCUGCUCAGGACUUUUGCCAGUUAGUAGCCCAGAAGCAAAAGUGACCCACAGAUUUGGAAGGAGCUAUGUUAGGCAGUUUACUUAGUUCAAAUGGUUCUCCUGAUCCUGAUUUAGUAUUGAAGUUUGGUCCUGUGGACAGCACAUUAGGCUUUCUUCCCCGGCACAUCAGAUUUACUGAGAUUGUCUCUUUGCCUGCCCACUUAAACAUCAGUUAUGACGACUUUUUCUCUGCCCUACAUCAGUAUGCAGCCUGUGGCCAGCGUGAGGAAAAG
rnacentral:lncRNA from 1 species